UUAUCGAAUUAUAUGUCUUAUUACCCCAUACAAAAAUUUAAUUUACAUUGAAAAUGGAACCUGUAAGCUUUCUAAUUAGUAAAUAUGUGCAAUCUAUCAGAUAGAUAGAAUAAUUAUGAUUAGAUUUUUUUUUAAGAUCCAAAAGUCAGAACAAUAUUUAGCUUUCUAAGAAAUUUCUGGAGCAACUUCCAGAAAUUCAAGGCAUACAAAUAUUAGCGAACUGAUCUUUUACUUUUAUUACAAUUUAUUACCCUUACUAACCCAACCCCUGAACGCAGGUAAAGACUGAGUUUGGAGCCACUUUUUGCCAGACUAAAUUAAGAGCUCCAGUGUGUUCAAAAGUCUGUUCUCCAACUCAUUGCGUUCUGUUAAUAUUUGUCAAGAAAGAUACACGUAAGAAUAUAACAGUGAAGAGUUGCGGAAACAUGCGUCGUCGGUGUCGGUACCAAAAGUGGAUCAGAUGAAAAUUGACCUUUCACCAGAAGUUACCAAUACCACCGUUGAUCUAUCUUUUUCCACAACACAAAAAGAAGAUGUAGAAUUAUCGAAAAUGUGGUUUUAUAGUCCACGAAAAAGAGUGACU